GACGAACGCUGGCGGCGUGCUUAACACAUGCAAGUCGAACGGAAAGGCCCUGCUUUUGUGGGGUGCUCGAGUGGCGAACGGGUGAGUAACACGUGAGUAACCUGCCCUUGACUUUGGGAUAACUUCAGGAAACUGGGGCUAAUACCGGAUAGGAGCUCCUGCUGCAUGUUGGGGGUUGGAAAGUUUCGGCGGUUGGGGAUGGACUCGCGGCUUAUCAGCUUGUUGGUGGGGUAGUGGCUUACCAAGGCUUUGACGGGUAGCCGGCCUGAGAGGGUGACCGGGCACAAUGGGACUGAGAGACGGACCAGACUCCUACGGGAGGCAGCAGGGGGGAAUAUUGCACAAUGGGCGGAAGCCAGAGGCAGCAACGCCGCGUGCGGGAUGACGGCCUUCGGGUUGUAAACCGCUUUCGCCUGUGACGAAGCGUGAGUGACGGUAAUGGGUAAAGAAGCACCGGCUAACUACGUG
rnacentral:rRNA from 1 species